GACGAACGCGGCGGGCGUGCUUAACACAUGCAAGUCGAACGCUGAAGCUCAGCUUUUGUUGGGUGGAUGAGUGGCGAACGGGUGAGUAACACGUGAGUAACCUGCCCCCUUCUUUGGGAUAACGCCCGGAAACGGGUGCUAAUACUGGAUAUUCACUGGUCUUCGCAUGGGGGUUGGUGGAAAGGGUUUUUCUGGUGGGGGAUGGGCUCGCGGCCUAUCAGCUUGUUGGUGGGGUGAUGGCCUACCAAGGCUUUGACGGGUAGCCGGCCUGAGAGGGUGACCGGUCACAUUGGGACUGAGAUACGGCCCAGACUCCUACGGGAGGCAGCAGUGGGGAAUAUUGCACAAUGGGCGCAAGCCUGAUGCAGCGACGCCGCGUGAGGGAUGGAGGCCUUCGGGUUGUGAACCUCUUUCGCUCAUGGUCAAGCCGCAACAAUGGUUGUGGUGAGGGUAGUGGGUAAAGAAGCGCCGGCUAACUACGUGCCAGCAGCCGCGGUAAUACGUAGGGCGCGAGCGUUGUCCGGAAUUAUUGGGCGUAAAGGGCUUGUAGGCGGUUGGUCGCGUCUGCCGUGAAAUCCUCUGGCUUAACUGGGGGCGUGCGGUGGGUACGGGCUGACUUGAGUGCGGUAGGGGAGACUGGAACUCCUGGUGUAGCGGUGGAAUGCGCAGAUAUCAGGAAGAACACCGGUGGCGAAGGCGGGUCUCUGGGCCGUUACUGACGCUGAGGAGCGAAAGCGUGGGGAGCGAACAGG
rnacentral:rRNA from 1 species